GAGCCGCCCUGCGCCGAGGUGCUUCGAUAGCAGGCCGAGACCACAGACCUUGGCAGUCUCCUUUGUGAAGAGGGAUCGCAAGGAACUGUGCUGAUGCUGCAGGGGGAAGUGGAUUACAUUUCAGCGUAACAGCUUCUGUGGCAGCUGGAAACAGUCCUCCUUGUACACCGAACCAAACCCCGCAUUUAGGGUGCUGCAGUGUGCAUCUUGUUCCCUGUCCAGUAUCCGUCACAGUGUACUGACUGGGUCUGCUUCAGACAACAUUCUAACAAAGCCUUUGUGCAAGUAACGUCUGAUGGACGCUCCAGGAAGGCUUACAGAUAGCCGGUUCUUUCUCUGGAGGCUGUUCUUGAGAUGACGAAUGCUACUCUGUUAAUUGGUGUUAUUUCACACCUCAGCAGGCUCUAUGCAUACCAUUUCAGAGCUGGGGAAAGAAGAAGUGUUUGAUCCAAACUCUUUGGAUGCUGAUGGCUGCGAGAGCUGUUGUGGGGCGGAGUCAGAGGACGUUCGGUAACCUUUACACCUUUUUGUAUCUUCUUAGCACUUGAAUUCAUACUGUUCUGUUGCAUGCACUUUUUUUUUCCAAAUGUCUGUGAAGGUCUGUGCAAUGAAAUGCUGGGCACGUGUUCAGAGAAUGAUGAGAACUGUUGUGGGUUUGGUAUGCCUUUGGAAG